rnacentral:pre_miRNA from 1 species
CAAUUACUUCCUCUGUCCCAAAAUUCUUGUCUUAGAUUUGUCUAGAUAUGAAUGUAUCAAGUCACGUUUUAGUAUUUAGAUACAUCCAUUUUUAAACAAACCUAAGACAAGAAUUUUAGGACGAAGAGAGUGGUAU